UUAGGACUUAAGGUUGUUNAUGGAUCUCACACNGGCCGCUGUUAAUUCACAGCCUAACACAUGCAAGUCGAACGGUAGCACAGAGGAGCUUGCUCCUUGGGUGACGAGUGGCGGACGGGUGAGUAAUGUCUGGGGAUCUGCCCGAUGGAGGGGGAUAACUACUGGAAACGGUAGCUAAUACCGCAUAACGUCGCAAGACCAAAGUGGGGGACCUUCGGGCCUCACACCAUCGGAUGAACCCAGAUGGGAUUAGCUAGUAGGUGGGGUAACGGCUCACCUAGGCGACGAUCCCUAGCUGGUCUGAGAGGAUGACCAGCCACACUGGAACUGAGACACGGUCCAGACUCCUACGNGGAGGCAGCAGUGGGGAAUAUUGCACAAUGGGCGCAAGCCUGAUGCAGCCAUGCCGCGUGUAUGAAGAAGGCCUUCGGGUUGUAAAGUACUUUCAGCGGGGAGGAAGGGGUUGAGUUUUAAUACGCUCAAUCAUUGACGUUACCCGCAGAAGAAGCACCGGCUAACUCCGUGCCAGCAGCCGCGGUAAUACGGAGGGUGCAAGCGUUAACUCGGAAUUACUGGGCGUAAGCGCACGCAGGCGGUCUUGUCAGUCGGAUGUAACAUCCCGGGGCUUUACCUUGGGACUGCUUCGAAACCUGGCAGGCUGGAGUCUNCGUAGCAGG
rnacentral:rRNA from 1 species